AACCACGUUGCUGUUGAAAAAGCAUGGGAUGAGCUGUGGAUAGCGGAGAAAUUCCAAUCGAACCCGGAGAUAGCUGGUUCUCUCCGAAAUAGCUUUAGGGCUAGCGUCGAGUAUGAGUAGUGGAGGUAGAGCACUGAAUGGGCUAGGGGGCAUAGCGCUUACCGAACCUUAUCAAACUCCGAAUGCCACAUACUUUGAGCUCGGCAGUCAGACUACGAAUGAUAAGAUCCGUGGUCAAAAGGGAAACAGCCCAGAUCGUCAGCUAAGGUCCCAAAGUGUAAGUUAAGUGGGAAAUGAUGUGAGAUUUCUAAGACAACUAGGAUGUUGGCUUAGAAGCAGCCAUUCAUUAAAAGAGUGCGUAAUAGCUCACUAGUCGAGAGAUCUUGCGCCGAAAAUGUAACGGGGCUAAACUUACCACCGAAGCUACGGGCUUGAACUUAGUUCAAGCGGUAGGAGAGCGUCGUAACCGGGCUGAAGUCGUACCGUAAGGAGCGGGGGACUGGUUACGAGUGAGAAUGUUGGCAUCAGUAGCGAGAUGUGGGUGAGAAUCCCACAGGCCGAAAACCUAAGGUUUCCUCAGGAAGGUUCGUCCGCUGAGGGUUAGUCGGGACCUAAGCCGAGGCCGAAAGGCGUAGGUGAUGGACAACUGGUUGAUAUUCCAGUACCACUACCAUCGUUAUUAUCGAUGGCGUAACGCAGGAGGAUAGUGUGUGCUAGCUAUUGGAUGCUAGUCUAAGCGUUUAGGCAGUGAGAGUAGGCAAAUCCGCUCUCAUAAUGCUGAGGCGUGAUGGGGAAGGUUCUACGGAACUGAAGUACAUGAUUCCACGCUGCCAAGAAAAGCGUCUAGAGAGAGAAGUAGUGCCCGUACCGCAAACCGACACAGGUAGGUGAGGAGAGAAUCCUAAGGCCGGCGGAAGAAUUACAGUUAAGGAACUCGGCAAAUUGACCCCGUAAGUUCGCGAGAAGGGGUGCCUACGAGAGUAGGCCGCAGAGAAUAGGCCCAAGCAACUGUUUAGCAAAAACACAGGUCUCUGCUAAAGCGUAAGCUGAUGUAUAGGGGCUGACGCCUGCCCGGUGCUGGAAGGUUAAGGGGAACACUUAGC
rnacentral:rRNA from 1 species